UUCUGCUUUCCUGUCAAUAAUCUCCACAAUAUUCUCCUAUGACGUUAAAAAAGGGUAAACCUCCAAAAAAAAGAAAUACAGCAUAGGCUCAUUCUAAAAAUGUAGCCCUAUAUACAUUUCUGGAGAUCGCGAAUUAUGUAGGAAUGCAUGCCUGCAUUACAUCUUUAAGACGAACAUUAUACGGGGCAGUAUGACGCCGUUCCUUUUUGACAAUACCAACUGUAACAAAUGAGAUAUUUUUUGUUUUUCUUCUGUUGCGCUCAACAAACAACCAAAUGAACAGAGAAGGGUCUCAUGACCUUAGGGUUAACUUCACACCUUUCUCCAAAUUUCAGGAGGUAAAAUAUUGACACUUAAGCAUGACCAAAUAACCAGAGAAGGGUCUCCGGACCUUAAGGUUAACUUUCUCCAAAUUUCAGGAGGUAGAAUAUUGACUCUAGAUAAUCAUGCUGACAAUACAAACCUCAAAUUAGUGCUUUACAAUCAGAAAUAAUGUGCAACUAGCUGAGAGAGGAGGUGGGCCUGAUCAACUCACACUUCUCUCUUACCUAUGAGGCCAACCUUUGGCUAGCACCCAAAUAUUGACUAUAAAGAUGAGGGUUUCUUGCUGAAACAUUGAAAGCUCAGCCGUGGGAUAAGCGCGCAUCGCCCGGCAUUCUCGGACACACGUGCUGGUUUUCCAAUGUGACUGCAACGGGCUCCCCAGUCUUUGAAGAGGAAAAUGAUGGCACGUCUCUGAGGAAUCUCUGGAGAACAGACUUACUGGUGGCUACCAGAGGAGAAAGGAACAAACGUAGUCCAAUCUACCGUUGGCUAGCUAGAUCUACGUUUUGCAUACAAGGAGAAGCUUCACUGGAUGAUCGCAGACACAUCUGCUCAAGCUGAGAAGAACAAGAGGAGCAAACUUUGCUUUGAACACAACAUCGUUUGGCAGAGUCUGAGGAGGCUGUCUGAUCAUCAACCUCUGAUAGUGAUGCGAUACCAUUGUGUCCAGCAGUGCGAAUGUUGGUGGCAGGAAAACAGCUACCAACAAAACUAGUGGAUCCUGGUGAAAACUGCAGUUGUCCCUCUGGGCUAAGAAGUCAAAGUCCUCUCGAGUCAAGGAAAAGUUGAAUACAUGUGGUCAACAUGCAUGUCUACAACAGUUCAAGCUAUCUUAAUUAGAUUUGCAGAUUUUGUUUUGUGUAAAAAUAAUGUAAUGAUUUACGUUGGUGUGAUUGGUCAUUGUGGAUGAAUUGGACAAAAUGUAACAAUGUAAAGUUAGCAUGUUGUUUGCAAAAAUUCAACUGCUUGGAGAGAAUUAUGGAACAUCAGUAAGGGAUAUUGUUUUAAGUUAAGUGCCCACAGUAUUGUUUUCAACAAUACUGUGUGUUAUAGGAAUUGGGAACAAUUCAAUGUAACCGGAGCUGUUACACUAUUUAAAUAUUAUGUUUUAUAUUAGCCUAAGUUAAGUACCCACAGUACUUUUUGCAAUGAUACUGUGUGCUAUGGAAAGUUGGAACAAUUCAAUGUAAACAGAGCUGUCACAAUAUGUUUUUUACCAUGCACUUCCUAUCAUAACUGAAGGAUAUUAUUGGAUCAUGCAUUUAAAUGGUGAUUGUUUAAAUCCUUAUGAUAAUCGAAGUUAUGAUAUGUCUGGUUGUGAUAAAACUGAAAAGGGAAUGCUCUGUUUCCUGCAAACAGGACAUUGCAAUCAAUGUUUGACUUCUGGAACUAGUGCAUAUGAUUUACAUUUACAUUUACAUUUACAUUUAGUCAUUUAGCUCAAUUGCAAUGGGAGAUUUUAAGUCUACUGCUUAACUGGUUGUAUCCAACCUAUAAUGGAUUGGUUUAAUACACAUGUUUCUGCUACGUUAGAAAGAUGUGCCUGAAGUAUGUUCGAAGUUUGGUUCUUCGUUGAGCGAGGGACCGAGUGUAACAAAUUAUAUAUUUUUUGUUUUUCUUCUGUUGCGCUCAACAAACAACCAAAUGAACAGAGAAGGGUCUCAUGACCUUAGGGUUAACUUCACACCUUUCUUCAAAUUUCAGGAGGUAAAAUAUUGACACUUAAGCAUGACCAAAUAACCAGAGAAGGGUCUCCGGACCUUAAGGUUAACUUUCUCCAAAUUUCAGGAGGUAGAAUAUUGACUCUAGAUAAUCAUGCUGACAAUACAAACCUCAAAUUAGUGCUUUACAAUCAGAAAUAAUGUGCAACUAGCUGAGAGAGGAGGUGGGCCUGAUCAACUCACACUUCUCUCUUACCUAUGAGGCCAACCUUUGGCUAGCACCCAAAUAUUGACUAUAAAGAUGAGGGUUUCUUGCUGAAACAUUGGAAGCUCAGCCGUGGGAUAAGCGCGCAUCGCCCGGCAUUCUCGGACAUACGUGUUGGUUUUCCAAUGUGACUGCAACGGGCUCCCCAGUCUUUGAAGAGGAAAAUGAUGGCACGUCUCUGAGGUUGUAUAUACUUGUAUCAAAUUGCUUGAAGUUUUCAUUAUCUGUCUUUUAUUCAUGUAAUCUCAUCUUUAUUUCGCAUUAUAAGCCUUUUAUGCAAUUUUGUUGUAUUUUGAUUAAUGAUGUUCAUGAGUAUGAUUGAUGAUUAUUGAAUAUUAUUGUGAUAAUUGAUAUCAGCUGUGUGUACCAGCAAUAAACAGUUGUAUUGCUUG